AUUGAACGCUGGCGGCAGGCCUAACACAUGCAAGUCGAACGGUAACAGGAAGACGCUUGCUUCUUUGCUGACGAGUGGCGGACGGGUGAGUAAUGUCUGGGAAACUGCCUGAUGGAGGGGGAUAACUACUGGGAACGGUAGCUAAUACCGCAUAACGUCGCAAGACCAAAGAGGGGACCUUCGGGCCUCUUGCCAUCGGAUGUGCCCAGAUGGGAUUAGCUAGUAGGUGGGGUAACGGCUCACCUAGGCGACGAUCCCUAGCUGGUCUGAGAGGAUGACCAGCCACACUGGAACUGAGACACGGUCCAGACUCCUACGGGAGGCAGCAGUGGGGAAUAUUGCACAAUGGGCGCAAGCCUGAUGCAGCCAUGCCGCGUGUAUGAAGAAGGCCUUCGGGUUGUAAAGUACUUUCAGCGGGGAGGAAGGGAGUAAAGUUAAUACCUUUGCUCAUUGACGUUACCCGCAGAAGAAGCACCGGCUAACUCCGUG
rnacentral:rRNA from 1 species